AUGCCCACUGAUUAUAAAAAUACAUUAUUCUGAGGAAUAAAAACCAGCUACUGGUCUUCUAUAUUUUUCUUUAUCACCGGAUCCUUUAUCUUUGCUCUCCAUCCUCCUCUCUUUAAUCUGGUGACUGGUCUGCUGAUUGGGAUUAUGAGAUAAAAGGGCAU